rnacentral:rRNA from 2 species
AUCCGGGUUGCGGACAGUGUCUGGUGGGUAGUUUGACUGGGGCGGUCUCCUCCUAAAGAGUAACGGAGGAGCACGAAGGUUGGCUAAUCCUGGUCGGACAUCAGGAGGUUAGUGCAAUGGCAUAAGCCAGCUUGACUGCGAGCGUGACGGCGCGAGCAGGUGCGAAAGCAGGUCAUAGUGAUCCGGUGGUUCUGAAUGGAAGGGCCAUCGCUCAACGGAUAAAAGGUACUCCGGGGAUAACAGGCUGAUACCGCCCAAGAGUUCAUAUCGACGGCGGUGUUUGGCACCUCGAUGUCGGCUCAUCACAUCCUGGGGCUGAAGUAGGUCCCAAGGGUAUGGCUGUUCGCCAUUUAAAGUGGUACGCGAGCUGGGUUUAGAACGUCGUGAGACAGUUCGGUCCCUAUCUGCCGUGGGCGCUGGAGAACUGAGGGGGGCUGCUCCUAGUACGAGAGGACCGGAGUGGACGCAUCACUGGUGUUCGGGUUGUCAUGCCAAUGGCACUGCCCGGUAGCUAAAUGCGGAAGAGAUAAGUGCUGAAAGCAUCUAAGCACGAAACUUGCCCCGAGAUGAGUUCUCCCUGAGACUUAGAGUCUCCUGAAGGAACGUUGAAGA